CGCAAAUCUACUAUCGAUCAUCCUUCUUAAGAAUAGAUUGCACCACUGCUUGUAUGCUUUUGAAAUCUUCAUUAGGACCACACUAAGAACCAUUCCUUACAAGAACUCACCACCCAAAAUAAGUUUAGAGCUCCAACACUUGGAAAUCCAAACCCUAGGACAAGCAACCCUUUGCUUUUCAUUUCUCGCUAAACUUCCUUUCUAUUUUUCUCUCUUUUCCUUAUCUU
rnacentral:lncRNA from 1 species